GCGAGGGGGUCGGGGACUCUCGGGGCACUCCCGAGGAAGUUCCGCCCACCGCACCGGGGCCGCGGUGCCGCAAGGCACCUCCCGAGAGGGAGGGCAACGGCGCAGAAACGACACGUCCCGGCGGGUAUGGGGAUGAAAGCGGCGAAGGGCCCGGCGACGGUGCCCGAGCUAACCCGCAGACGACCCGUCGGGGACCGGUGAAACGGCCGUCCCGCGGGGUGCAAGGCCGAGGGAGGGGCGAUGAGUUCCCGGUGGGAGCCCCGUGGUAGGCCGCUCAGUCGAAUGUCCCCUUGAGACAGAAGGCGGGCUACGACCCCCUCGC
rfam:Thermococcus sp. 5-4, complete genome.